CCUACGGGAGGCAGCAGUGAGGAAUAUUGGUCAAUGGACGAGAGUCUGAACCAGCCAAGUAGCGUGAAGGAUGACUGCCCUAUGGGUUGUAAACUUCUUUUAUAUGGGAAUAAAACGUUCCACGUGUGGGAUUUUGUAUGUACCAUAUGAAUAAGGAUCGGCUAACUCCGUGCCAGCAGCCGCGGUAAUACGGAGGAUCCGAGCGUUAUCCGGAUUUAUUGGGUUUAAAGGGAGCGUAGGUGGAUUGUUAAGUCAGUUGUGAAAGUUUGCGGCUCAACCGUAAAAUUGCAGUUGAAACUGGCAGUCUUGAGUACAGUAGAGGUGGGCGGAAUUCGUGGUGUAGCGGUGAAAUGCUUAGAUAUCACGAAGAACUCCGAUUGCGAAGGCAGUUCACUGGACUGCCACUGACAUUGAUGCUCGAAAGUGUGGGUAUCAAACAGGAUUAGAUACCCGUGUAGUC
rnacentral:rRNA from 1 species